UGAGUUUCACACGUAUUUACGGCCUACGGUUGAAAGGAUGAGCACUAACGUCAAGAUUUCAGAAAUUGGCCGGAGGAGCAGCUGGUGACUCAGAAAAGAUGAGCACCGAGUUCUAAAUUUCAGAAACUUGGACCGAGGUCGAAGUUUCAAAAACGUGGUCGGAGGAGCAGCUGCUCGGUAGGUUUUCGGCCAGUAAAUCUAUUAUUCGAUGUCGCUGCUGGGGAGACUUCUAUGAGCUGGGCAGUGAGGAAAUUUUUUCCCUUUGUUAGUGUAAUUUGGGGAAAGUGGGUGCCGAGGUUUUGUUUUAUUAAUUUUGCAUUCACUUGGGAAAAGGCAAAAUUUCCCUCCAUUUUCUGGCUUUAUUAAUUUUGUAAUGAAUUAAAUAUUCUUGUCCAGGUCAGAAAAUUUUGAAUCCCUGUUACCAGUCGGUCAACAGCCCUGUCCACCUAGCUUUAUUGCCAACAGUGUAGAAUUAUGAUUCUAACGUGUUGUACAGAUU
rnacentral:lncRNA from 1 species